rnacentral:rRNA from 1 species
UGGGGAAUAUUGGACACUGGGCGAAAGCCUGAUCCAGCCAUGCCGCGUGUGUGAAGAAGGUCUUCGGAUUGUAAAGCACUUUAAGUUGGGAGGAAGGGCAGUAAGCGAAUACCUUGCUGUUUUGACGUUACCGACAGAAUAAGCACCGGCUAACUCUGUGCCAGCAGCCGCGGUAAUACAGAGGGUGCAAGCGUUAAUCGGAAUUACUGGGCGUAAAGCGCGCGUAGGUGGUUCGUUAAGUUGAAUGUGAAAGCCCCGGGCUCAACCUGGGAACUGCAUCCAAAACUGGCGAGCUAGAGUAGGGCAGAGGGUGGUGGAAUUUCCUGUGGAGCGGUGAAAUGCGUAGAUAUAGGAAGGAACACCAGUGGCGAAGGCGACCACCUGGGCUCAUACUGACACUGAGGUGCGAAAGCGGGGGGAGCAAACAGG